UUUUUUUUUUUUUUUUAAGUAUGUGUUGAGGGAUGCCUGGGUGGCUCAGCGGUUGAGUGUCUGCCUUGGGCCCAGGGUGUGAUCCCAGGAUCCAGGAUCAAGUCCUGCAUCUGGCUCCCUGCAGGAAGCCUUCUUCUCCCUCUGCCUGUGUCUUUGCCUCUCUCUCUGUGUCUCUCAUGAAUAAGUAAAUAAAUCCUUAAAAAAAAAUAAAGCAUGUGUUGAAGUUAAUUUUAUCUACUUUUUUGUCCCAGUAUUCACUGAAGUAGUCACAUUUUCUUCUUUUAGGAUUUUCAUGUCAGUUCAUCGUAGCUUCACUAAUGAUUAACCAUCACUGAUUCCUGGAAUAAAAUUCCUUUGAUUAUGGUGUAGUAUCGUUGGCAUAGGGUGGUGAAUUUAUUACGAGUGCUUUAUUCAGGAUUUUUAUAUGUGCGUGCAUUGGUAAGAGUCUUUUGUAUAUGGGCUCACUGUCCAACUUAUGCUAUUGACACCAUUUAAAACCUUGUAGAGUAAGUUGUGAAGCUUUCUAUUUUUAUGCUCUAUGAUUAUUAAAAUAUCAUAAGAAUUAUCUGUUCUUUGAAGGUUUGAAGACAUUCAUCUAGAAGACCGGCUAGAUGCCUUUUAGGAGCUAUAUUUUGUUUGAAAAUAAGAUAAAAGGGAAAAGUUUAUAUUUCUUAUGAAAUAAGAAAUGAGUUGCUGGUCUAUUCAGAUCUUCUACUUCUUCUUGAAUCAAUCUUGGCCAGUGAUACAUGUUUGUAGAUUGUGGCUGUAGCAAAUAACCACAAACUUAGUGGUUUGAAACAAGAAAAUUGGGGCGCCUGGGUGGCGCAGUGGUUGAGCCUCUGCCUUUGGCUCAGCUCAUGAUCCUGGAGUCCUGGGAUCAAGUCCUACAUCAGGAUCUCCACAGGGAGCCUGCUUCUCCCUCUGCCUAUGUCUCUGCCUCUCUCUGUGUGUCUCUUAUGAUAAAUAAAUGAAAUCUUAAAAAAAAUAAAGAAAGAAAAGAUACAAGAAAAUGUAGCUGGGACCCAGGCGUAACAAACACCCUGGCUCCAUGGGUCCCAAACAGACCAGGUCCGGCCACUCCCCACUCACAAAAGCCAAAGGCAGAAAGACAGUGGUGGUGAAACAGGACAGAAAUCUAUUUCACUGAGGCCAACACCAGGAAGACAAGGGACUAGCUUCUCAAAGUCUCCAAAGUGCUGAAAAUACUUCCAGGAUUGCAUAAAGAAAAUGUGGGGCAAAGAGUGAUGGGGGGAUGCAGGUGUGCAGUAAAGAUCAGGUCCAUCAUUGUCUUGGAGUGGAUCACCUGCAGGUGGGGUCUCCCUAGCUUGGGGAAGUUUACUGUCUGAUGGGGUAGCUGGGUGCCCAGCACAGGGUGCUUUGUCCACAGGGUCUCUUGCCUGAGGUUAAGAGAUAAGCUAGAAAGACCUUAAUCAUUUAGAAACUGAGUUCAAAAUGGGGAUUGUUGAGUCCUCUUUCAAAAGCUUUAUUGUUUUACGGAGGUCAUCAGUCUGAAAUGGGGUUUGGGGAACACCUAUGUGUUUCAGUGGUUGAGCAUAUGCCUUUGGCUCAGGGCGUGAUUCCCCAGUCCUGGGAUCAAGUCCCACAUUGGGCUCCCCAUAGGAAGCCUGCUUCUCCCUCUGCCUGUCUCUGCUUCUCUGUCUGUGUCUCUCAUGAAUAAAUGAAUAAAAUCUUAAAGAAAAAAGGAAAUCAAGAUGUCUUUUGUUCUGUUCAUAGUGACUUUUGGACCUCACCUAAGGGUGAGGGCUGUUUGCCAGUUGAGCCAACUAUGUGAUUAAUGGGUUGGACCUUUUUAUUUCACCCCCAACCUCCAGGAAGAGGAGAAGCGUCGGAGGUUGAGUUCAAUUACCAAUGGUAAUGAUUUAAUUAAUCAUGCCUACUUACUGAAGCCUCCGUAAAAACUCAAAAGGAUGGGGUUCAAGGACCUGAUGGGUUAGUGAACAGGUGGAUAUUUGGGGACGGUGGGCCCUGAAGAACACAGAAGCCCCCCAUCCUUUCCCACAUACCUUGCCCUGGGCAUCUUUUCCAUCUAGCUGUUUUUGAGUUAUAUAGUUUAUAAUAAACCAGUAAUCUAGUAUAUAUAAACUAGUAAGUAAUAUAUAAAACCUGUAUAUAUAAAACCAGUAAGUAAUUGGCUUAUAUAAUAAACCAGUAAGUAAACUGUUUCUGAGUUAUUUGAGCUGCUCUAACAAAUUAACUGAGUCUAAAGAAGGGGUCAAAAAAAGAGGGAGUCAAGAGUACAUCCUCCAAUCUAUAGCCUGUUGGUCAGAAGCACAGGUGACAACCUGGACUUGUGAUUGGCAUUUGAAGUGGUACGGAGGCUUGGGGACAGGAGUGAGGGGACUGUCUUAUAGGACUGAGCUUUUUAUCUGUGGGAUGUGACACUAUCUCCAGUUAGAUGGUAUAAGAAUUGACUUGAAUUGUAGGAUCCUGGGCUAACGUCUAAGAACUGUUUGAUGGUGUGGGGAACCGCCCCUUACACACACACACACACACACACACACACACACACACACACUGGAGCUGGGUACAGAAUGCUUCUUAUAAAUUUAUACACAGAGAAAGAGAACAAAACACCUGUUUUAUCCACUUCACCCACAGGUCAGUAAGUAAAACACCUUGACACUAAUGGACUGGUUGAGCUGUAGCUACCAUACAGUUUCUCUCCAUUCCAAGGAAGAAAAAAAAAACUACUUUUCCUAUAAGUGAUUUGAGCUCAUAUUGGUAUAUGAACAAAAAAAUAAAUAAAUAAAUCUAGGUUUCCCAGGAGAUCUCAGAAUCCCCAAGACAAAUGAAGAAGUAAAGUAAUGGCUAGAAUUCCUAUGCUCUGCCAUCUGAUAAUGCUCAUCAAAUAGUCCAAUCAUAAAUCUCCCCCAUCCCCUGCAAUGGGACAUAAGUAGCUGUAUACAGGUCAGAACCAGACCAAAACCAGACUUUGCCAAGACCCAGAUGUAACUUGGGAUAGAAAGAGAGCCAGAAUACACACAGAAAACACAGGAUCAAUGAGAGCUAGGCUUUAUUGCUUCAUGAGAUUUGGCUCCGGGUAAACGACCCUACUUGUAGAGGCUGCUUUUAGGCAACAGG
rnacentral:lncRNA from 1 species